UGGGGAAUAUUGGACAAUGGGCGGAAGCCUGAUCCAGCAACGCCGCGUGAGGGAUGACGGCCUUCGGGUUGUAAACCUCUUUCAGUACCGACGAAGCGAAAGUGACGGUAGGUACAGAAGAAGGACCGGCCAACUACGUGCCAGCAGCCGCGGUAAUACGUAGGGUCCGAGCGUUGUCCGGAAUUAUUGGGCGUAAAGGGCUCGUAGGCGGUUUGUCGCGUCGGGAGUGAAAACAGCGGGCUUAACUCGUUGCUUGCUUUCGAUACGGGCAGACUAGAGGUAUGCAGGGGAGAAUGGAAUUCCUGGUGUAGCGGUGAAAUGCGCAGAUAUCAGGAGGAACACCGGUGGCGAAGGCGGUUCUCUGGGCAUUACCUGACGCUGAGGAGCGAAAGUGUGGGGAGCGAACAGGAUUAGAUACCCUGGUAGUCCACACCGUAAAACGUUGGGCGCUAGGUGUGGGGUCCUUUCCACGGA
rnacentral:rRNA from 1 species